AUAAAAUUUGGUUCUGGUUUUUAGUUAACUAUUACUUUUAGAAACACAUGAUAGUUUUGACGAAGCUGUGAAGUUUAAAAUAAACUUUCUUUAUGUAAACUAUACUUUUAGUUUAUUUUAUAGGUAUCAAUUAUUAUUAUAACACCACUUACUACUUCAGUGUUAAAGUUUAAAAACAAAAGAAAUUAAGGUUUAGAAAUAGUAUUAAGAGCUAGUUAAAUUUGUGCCAGCAACUGCGGUUAUACAAAAGGCUCAAGUUAAUUAAUACGGUAAAAGGUAGUUAUUAUUAUAUUUUGUUAGAUUAUAAAAAAUGAAAAAGUAAAAUUUAUAUUUUUCUAUAACCUAAAUCUAACUAUUUAAAGAAGCUACAAAAAUUUUAACUAAAACUGGGAUUAGAUACCCCACUAUUAAAAAUUUAAAUUAAAAACACCAGAGUAUUACGAAUUAAUAUUGUUUAAAACUUAAAGAACUUGGCGGUGUCUUAAUUCUUUCUAGGGGAACCUGUGCUUUAAAUCGACAAUCCGCGAUAAACCUCACUUUAUUUUAAUAUUUUUAGUUUGUAUACUUCCGUCAUAAGUUAACCCUUAAGGGAACAACAGUUAACUAUUUAGAAGAUUUCUAUGAUGACAGGUCAAAGUGCAGCCUAUAAUAAAGUUAGUCAUGGGUUACAAUUUAAAUUUAAAACUACGGACAACUACUGCAAAAGUAUUUGGUUAAGGAGGACUUAGAAGUAAAAAUAAAAUUAUGAACAUUUUUUUGAAAAAGCCCUAAGACGUGUACAUAUCGCCCGUCACUCUCUUUCUAAGAAGAGAUAAGUCGUAACAUAGUAGGGGUAGCUGAAGCUGUCCCU
rnacentral:ncRNA from 1 species